CAAAUUAGAGCUUGUUAAGCAUUUUAUUUACAUUAAAAAGAAAAUUAUUAAAUUAGUUUAAUUU
rnacentral:tRNA from 1 species